rnacentral:rRNA from 1 species
AUUGAACGCUGGCGGCAGGCCUAACACAUGCAAGUCGUGCGCGCGGCGGACGGGUGAGUAAUGUAUGGGGAUCUGCCUGAUGGAGGGGGAUAACUACUGGAAACGGUAGCUAAUACCGCAUACCAUCAGAUGUGCCCAGAUGGGAUUAGCUAGUGGGUGGGGUAAUGGCUCACCUAGGCGACGAUCCCUAGCUGGUCUGAGAGGAUGACCAGCCACACUGGAACGGAGAAAGGGUCCAGAGUCCUACGUGAGGAAGCAGUGGGGAAGAUUGCACAAGGGGCGCAAGCCUGAGGAAGCCAGGCCGCGUGUGUGAAGAAGGCGUUGGGGGUGUAAAGCACUUUCAGCGGGGAGGCGUUACUCGAAGAAGAAGCACCGGCUAACUCCGUGCCAGCAGCCGCGGUAAUUC